UCCUCCCCUCUUCAUGUCCAAAAAGUUGGACAUCCAUCUGGCAAAGAUCCAAGGCGUGGUGACGCCUGGAACAGAAGGCUGCAGGACAUCUUCGACAGGCUGCUGCUCCAACUUCAGAAGGAGUUCUGAAGUACUUUCAAAUCAGAUAAAGAUCUAAUUUUUGGAGCAUAGAUUCAUGAGAAGAUGUUCCAGAUCCUGUCUAAGUGGAUAUUAGUAGAGGUCAGGCACUUGUGUGGCUACAUUAAAAUCUCGGGCGGUGCAGAGAUCAUCUACAGGGUAAUCAGAUU
rnacentral:lncRNA from 1 species